CAACAAAGACUAGUAUUUACCACUUUCGCCAUCAGAUGCCUCAGCAAGCCUUGCAAUUGCAUCAAUCAAAGAUUGUUCAUGCUCCUGCAAUAAUGUCUAUUAGUUAAGUUUAAGGGCACCUAACCAUAAUAUUUUACAUUUCCAUGUUUACCUUGAGCACUUUCUUUGCUUUCUCCAUUUCAAGAGGAUCAGGGUUGCUUGCGCUGAAAACCCGCUCCACCUAGAUAAGUAGAUUAUCAUCAUAGAGCAGAUAACACUUGCAUGGUCUAAACAAACAGGCAAAGUUUCUUCCAAACUAACCUCCUUUAUUAAUGACUCCGUAUGGAGUAUUUCUAUGCAAUCAGAGCUUUUCUUCCCAACACCAUUUUGUGAAGGUGGAAACUCUUUCCUGGAUGUGUUCUUUUGCGGCCCUCUGCUCCCCCUUCCAGGACCUGACAUGGGGCCAUUACGGCUGCUUGACUUCUUACCACCAUGAACAGUAGCGCCACGGCCUUGCUGGAUUAUUCCAGGGUCGCCACCUUCCCAUCUAAUAUCUUCAGGUGCCAUCUGCACUCAAGGACAAGAAAU
rnacentral:sRNA from 1 species